rnacentral:rRNA from 1 species
UACGUAGGGGGCAAGCGUUGUCCGGAAUCAUUGGGCGUAAAGAGCGUGUAGGCGGCCUUACAGGUCAGCUGUGAAAACUCGAGGCUCAACCUCGAGACGUCGGUUGAAACCGUAAGGCUAGAGUCCGGAAGAGGAGAGUGGAAUUCCCGGUGUAGCGGUGAAAUGCGCAGAUAUCGGGAAGAACACCCGUGGCGAAGGCAGAUCUCUGGGCCGUAACUGACGCUGAGGAGCGAAAGCAUGGGGAGCGAACAGG